CUUACGGAGAUAGCCUCUCGAAAGAGAUAUUAACACCGCAUAACAUCUCUGACCGGCAUGUUAAAUUUAAAAAAUAUUUAUAGGACACAGAUGGGCUCGCGUGAAAUUAGCUAGUUGGUAGGGUAACGGCUUACCAAGGCGACGAUGUCUAGGGGCUCUGAGAGGAGAAUCCCCCACACUGGUACUGAGACACGGACCAGACUCCUACGGGAGGCAGCAGUAAGGAAUAUUGGUCAAUGGGCGGAAGCCUGAACCAGCCAUGCCGCGUGCAGGAUGACUGCCCUAUGGGUUGUAAACUGCUUUUGUCCAGGAAUAAACCUAUAUACGUGUAUUUAGCUGAAUGUACUGGAAGAAUAAGGAUCGGCUAACUCCGUGCCAGCAGCCGCGGUAAUACGGAGGAUCCGAGCGUUAUCCGGAUUUAUUGGGUUUAAAGGGUGCGUAGGCGGCCUAUUAAGUCAGGGGUGAAAUACGGUGGCUCAACCAUCGCAGUGCCUUUGAUACUGAUGGGCUUGAAUCCAUUUGAAGUGGGCGGAAUAAGACAAGUAGCGGUGAAAUGCAUAGAUAUGUCUUAGAACUCCGAUUGCGAAGGCAGCUCACUAAGCUGGUAUUGACGCUGAUGCACGAAAGCGUGGGGAUCGAACAGAAUUAGAUACCCUGGUAGUCCACGCCCUAAACGAUGAUUACUCGAUGUUGGCGAUAGACAGCCAGCGUCCCAGCGAAAGCGUUAGGUUAUCCAUCUGGGGAGUACGCCCGCAUGAGUGAAACUCCAAAGUAUUGACAGGGCCCCGCACAAGCGGAGGAGCAUGUGGUUUAUUCCGAUGAUACGCGA
rnacentral:rRNA from 1 species